ACUAAGGGCCAGUGAGCAAAUAUUUUAGACUGUGGGCCAAGAGGCAAAAUCGAGGAUAUUAUGUAGGUACUUAUAUAACCAAAGAGAAAAUGUCCAUAAUGUUCUUUAUUGGUGGAAUUCAAAAUGUAAUAAUUGAGUAAAGUUUUUAAAAUACAGGUCUACU